rnacentral:rRNA from 1 species
UACGUAGGGUGCAAGCGUUGUCCGGAAUUAUUGGGCGUAAAGGGCUCGUAGGCGGUCCAUCGCGUCGGGAGUGAAAAGCUGGGGCUUAACCCAAGUCCUGCUUCCGAUACGGGUGGACUAGAGGUAGGUAGGGGAGAUCGGAAUUCCUGGUGUAGCGGUGAAAUGCGUAGAUAUCGAGAGGAACACCUGCGGCGAAGGCGGGUUGCUGGGCUGACACUGACGCUGAGGCGCGAAAGCGUGGGGAGCGAACAGG